UACGUAGGGGGCAAGCAUUGUCCGGAAUCAUUGGGCGUAAAGAGCGCGUAGGCGGUCCGGUAAGUCCGCUCUGAAAGUCCGGGGCUCAACCCCGGGAGGCGGGCGGAUACUGUCGGGCUAGAGUCCGGAAGAGGCGAGUGGAAUUCCUGGUGUAGCGGUGAAAUGCGCAGAUAUCAGGAGGAACACCGAUGGCGAAGGCAGCUCGCUGGGACGGUACUGACGCUGAGGCGCGAAAGCGUGGGGAGCAAACAGG
rnacentral:rRNA from 1 species